GAUGAAGAACGUAGCGAAAUGCGAUAAGUAGUGUGAAUUGCAGAAUUCAGUGAAUCAUCGAAUCUUUGAACGCACAUUGCGCCCCUUGGUAUUCCAUGGGGCAUGCCUGUUCGAGCGUCAUUUGUACCUUCAAGCUUUGCUUGGUGUUGGGUGUUUGUCCAUUCUCUUGCAGAGGGACUCGCCUUAAAGUAAUUGGCAGCCAGUGUUUUGGUUUUGAAGCGCAGCACAAGUCGCGAUUCAACGCUAUACGCCAGCUUCCACAAGCCUUUUUCACUUUUGACCUCGUAUCAGGUAGGGAUACCCGCUGAACUUAAGCAUAUCAAUAAGCGGAGGA
rnacentral:misc_RNA from 1 species